rnacentral:rRNA from 1 species
GAUGAACGCUGGCGGCGUGCCUAAUACAUGCAAGUCGAGCGAACAGACGAGGUACUUGUACCUCUUACGUGAGCAGCGAACGGGUGAGUAACACGUGGAUAACCUGCCUAUAAGCGGGGGACAACUUCGGGAAACGAGUGCUAAUACCGGAUAAUAUCUUUAACCACAUGUUUCAAUAGUGAAAGACGGUUUUGCUUCACCUAAUGAAGAUAUCCCGGCUGCUUAGGUUAGUGGUGAGGUUAACGGCUUACAAGGGGAAGGAAGCUUAGCCGACCGGAGAGGUGGAUAGCCCAAACGGGAACUGGAACACGCCCAAGACUCCUAGGGGAGGAGCCAGUAGGGAAUCUUGGGCAAUGGGCGAAAGCUUGACGGAGCAAGCCGGGGGGGUUGAUAAAGGUCUUCGGAUCGUAAACCUCGGUUAUAGGGGAGGAACAAAUGUGUAAUGAAAUGCGCACGUAGUGACGGUACCUACUCAGAAAGCCACGGCUAACUACGUG